UACGUAGGGUGCAAGCGUUAAUCGGAAUUACUGGGCGUAAAGCGUGCGCAGGCGGUGAUGUAAGACAGUUGUGAAAUCCCCGGGCUUAACCUGGGAACUGCAUUUGUGACUGCAUAGCUAGAGUACGGUAGAGGGGGAUGGAAUUCCGCGUGUAGCAGUGAAAUGCGUAGAUAUGCGGAGGAACACCGAUGGCGAAGGCAAUCCCCUGGACCUGUACUGACGCUCAUGCACGAAAGGCGUGGGGAGCAAACAGG
rnacentral:rRNA from 1 species